UACAGAGGAGCCAAGCGUUGUCCGGAUUGACUGGGCGUAAAGCGCACGCAGGCGGUCGCGUAAGAGUGCGGGGACAGUGGGCGGCUUAACUGCCCAAGGGUCGCACAGACUGCGUGACUGGAGGGCCAGAGAGGGACCUGGAAUUCCGGGUGGAGCGGUGAAAUGCGUAGAGAUCGGAAAGAACACCAACGGCGAAAGCACUCUGCUGGGCCGACACUGACACUGAGAGACGAAAGCUAGGGGAGCAAAUGGG
rnacentral:rRNA from 1 species